GACGAACCGUGCGAACGUUGUUCGGAAUCACUGGGCUUAAAGGGCGCGUAGGCGGGCGGCCAAGUCAGGGGUGAAAUCUUUCGGCUCAACCGGAAAAGUGCCUCUGAUACUGGUGGCCUCGAGGGAGGUAGGGGUCUGCGGAACUUCCGGUGGAGCGGUGAAAUGCGCAGAUAUCAGGAGGAACACCAAUGGCGAAGGCAGCUCGCUGGAACGGUACUGACGCUGAGGCGCGAAAGCGUGGGGAGCGAACAGG
rnacentral:rRNA from 1 species